rnacentral:rRNA from 1 species
UAACAGAUCUAGCUUGCUAGAUGCUGACGAGCGGCGGACGGGUGAGUAACGCGUAGGAAACUGCCGAGUAGUGGGGGAUAGCCCAGAGAAAUUUGGAUUAAUACCGCAUACGCCCUACGGGGGAAAGGAGGGGAUCUUCGGACCUUUCGCUAUUCGAUGUGCCUGCGUGAGAUUAGCUUGUUGGUGAGGUAAAGGCUCACCAAGGCGACGAUCUCUAGCUGGUUUGAGAGGAUGAUCAGCCACACUGGGACUGAGACACGGCCCAGACUCCUACGGGAGGCAGCAGUGGGGAAUAUUGCACAAUGGGGGAAACCCUGAUGCAGCCAUGCCGCGUGUGUGAAGAAGGCCUUCGGGUUGUAAAGCACUUUCAGCAGUGAGGAAAGGUUGUAAGUUAAUACCUUGCAGCUAUGACGUUAACUGCAGAAGAAGGACCGGCUAACUCCGUGCCAGCAGCCGCGGUAAU